UAAUCUCCCUUGAGACCCAUGCGUAGCUGAGAAACGGGAAUUUGAAAGGGUUGGGGGCUGGACCAAGGGCUGCGGAGUGAAUGACCCCCAGCCCCCUGCCCCUACCAAACGACUCUGACCCCUUGAGGACUGCGUUUGAGGACGCGGGGCCUGAAGCUGACCGAGGGAGAUCCCCGCUGCUUCCCGCCACCGAAGCUGUGCCUCAUGGUAUCUACGUUCAGUAGCCCCGCCGAGGCGGCGCUGCAGCGAGAGGCGGGCGCAGCAGGGCUGCUCACUCCUCUCGAUGACCUGGAUCGAGUGUACGAGCUGGAGCGAGUCGUUGGAUUUGUCCGCAACCUGGGGUGUCGAAGGGUGGCCUUGCAGUUCCCUGACCAGCUGUUGGGAGAUGCUGGGGCCGUGGCUGCACGACUGGAGAGGGCUACGGGGUCGAAGAUGUUCAUUCUGGGAGACACGGCCUAUGGCAGCUGCUGUGUGGAUGUACUGGGUGCUGAGCAAGCUGGAGCUCAGGCCCUUGUACAUUUUGGCCCUGCCUGCUUAAGCCCUCCUGCCCGCCCACUGCCUGUGGCCUUCAUCCUUGGUCAACGUUCUGUGGCCUUGGAACUCUGCGCUAAGGCCUUUGAAGCCCAGAACCCAGACCCUACAGUUCCUGUGGUGCUGCUGAGUGAGCCGGCCUGCGCCCAUGCCCUGGAGGCCUUGGCCACUCUUCUGCGCCCACGGUACUCAGAUCUGGUUGUCUCCAGCCCGGCUUUUCCCCUGCGAGUGGAUUCCCUCAAUCCAGAUCCUGAACCCCUGGAGCGUUUUGGGCGCCACUUCCCCCUGGCUCCAGGGAGGUGUCUGGAAGAGUAUGGUGCCUUCUAUGUUGGGGGCUCUGAGUCCAUUUCAGACCCUGACCAUGACCCAGACCUGAGCCGGCUGCUCUUGGGCUGGGCACCAGGGCAGUCUUUCUUCUCCUGCUGCCCAGACACAGGGCAGACUCGGAAUGAAGGUGCUCGGGCUGGGCGGCUCAGAGCACGUAGACACUAUCUGGUAGAGAGAGCUAGAGAUGCCCGUGUGGUGGGGCUGCUGGCGGGCACACUGGGUGUGGCCCAACACCGUGAGGCACUGGCACACUUGCGGAACCUGACGCAGGCUGCCGGCAAGCGUAGCUAUGUUUUGGCCCUGGGACGACCCACGCCUGCCAAGCUUGCCAACUUCCCUGAGGUGGAUGUCUUUGUGCUAUUGGCCUGUCCUCUGGGUGCCCUAGCCCCCCAGCCUUCUGGCAGCUUCUUCCGGCCUGUAUUGACACCGUGUGAGCUGGAGGCUGCCUGCAACCCUGCCUGGCCACCUCCAGGCCUGGCUCCCCACCUCACACAUUAUGCAGACUUAUUACCUGGCUCUCCCUUCCACGUGCCCCUCCCUCCACCUGACUCAGAGCUGUGGGACACCCCAGAUGUGUCACUCAUUACUGGGGACCUACGACCCCCACCUGCCUGGAAGCCAUCGAGUGAUCCUGGAUGCACAGCCCUAACGCCGCGGCCCCAACUGGAGCUGGCUGAGAGCAGCCCUGCAGCCUCGUUUCUUAGUUCUCGGAGCUGGCAGGGACUACAGCCCCGCUUGGGUCAGACGCCAGUGACAGGAGCUGUGAGCGGAAGACGAGGGAUUGCCAUCGCCUACGAGGAUGAGGGAAGCAGCUGAUACCAUGUGGGACCAGAGUCACAGGUGGACUUAAGAAUCACUGCUAAAACCUUUAGUGCUCCCUACAUCAACCUCACCCCUCUGCCAGGAUCCUUGAAGGAGACUCUCACUGAGGCAGCCCCUCACUUAGGAUAGGAUCCAGCUCUAUCCUGUCCUUUCCUGGCACUGGCACAGGUCUUACACAGGUCGUGUGGGUCCAGAUCUGAAUUGUAUUUGACUGGAUUCCUGUCCUCACAGUGUAGUUGGAAGAAAGGCAGUUAAAACAGGCAAUUACCACACAGUGAAGCAGUAUUUGUGAGGAGGGAAGUCCCCAAGGGUAGCUGAAGCCCAGAAGAGACUUACCAGAGGGAGUGUUACCCAAGCUGGAUCUCUUUGAGAAAAAAAAUAAUUAUCGGAAGAAAUGGAGUGAAAAGGACAUUUGGGCAAAGGGUACACCAUGCUUAAACACACAGGCAUGAACUAGCAUGGUGGGUGCUUCAAGCAAAGUGGAGUUGCUGGACCCUAAAGGUUCAGAGGUAUGAAGAAAACUACUCACGUCAUUCCCUGCAUUUGCUGAGAAUUUUGGCCUAUUGGCAUUGUCCGGGGUGUUGAAGAAGCCAGUGAACAGGGAGAUGUGGUUACUGCCCUCAAGGAUUGCCCAGUCUGCUGGUGGAGGCAAUUUAUAAACUCAACUGUGGUAACUGGGACAAGGGUACCAAUCAUGUUCUACAAAUAUGUAUUGGGCACCCACUGUGUGCCAAGCACUGGAAAUCCAGUGGUGAGCUCAGGGAUCCUUUAACAGUGCUUACAUUCUCUUGGUGGGACAAGCUAGACAAUCAUAACACUUAGUAUGCCGAAUGGUGAUGAGUGCCGUGGAGAAAUACAAAGCUAGGAAGGAGUGUAAGAGAGAGGGGCUUGCAAUAUUAAACAGGAUGGUCAGAGAGGGCCCCCCCCCCAUGUUUUAUGUUUAUCAGUAGUUCAUUGCUUUUUAUUGCUGAACAUUCACCCAUAGUAUAAAUAUGCUACAAUUAGACUAUGCAUGUUGACAGAAGGGAAGGCCUUUUGAAGACAACAAGCAAAGACUGAGAGAAGUUACAAGUGAGCCACAUGAAUAGUAGGGAAAGCAGUAGGAACAAGUGCACGUGCAAUGCGGUGGGAUAAUGACUGGUAUGUACAAGGAAUAGCAGGGAGGCCAGAACAGCCAGAGGAGGGAGUUAGUGGGGAAGUAUUAGGGGGUGAGGUCAGGUAAGAGGCAUGGGGAGCAGCAUCAGUAGAGGCCUAGAAGGCCACUAUAAGGACUAUGGCUUUUAUUCCGUGGGAAAUGGGAGCCACUGAGGUAUUUUAAAGAGAGUAACACCAUUUUGCUUAAGUUUCAUAAAGAUCUCCAGGGAGGCGGGGGAGCCCAGAGCAGGCGCCCUGCCUCUGGUUGUGGAAGGAAGGCUUCCUGGAAGAAUGGUAUCUGAGGACCAGCAGGUGUUGGCCAGGCCCUGUAGUGAGCACAAAGAAGCGUGCUUCAGGUAGAGGAAACAGCAGGGCUCAGGGAGAGAGCAGACACUCUCACGGAGCUGGGCGGGCCGGCCAGGGACGAGGCCCGCGGGAUCAGCACUGGCUUGGAGGCUAAGCUCGGGUGGAAAGCAGAGCUGGUGGGCCAGGGCAGGGAGGAGAAGGAGCGGGCGUGGAGGGAUGCGAGCCGGGCUGCCAGGGAGAGGGCGAGGUACUCCGUAAGGAGGGUACCCGAGCCCCUA